CCCCCCCCAACAAGACUGAGAAGGAGAAGUAACAGUAUCAGAACCAGUGCUCAGUGGAAGCACAGAAAUACUGGAGAACUUCAGCAUCACAAGGACCUCUAUCAAAUCUUUAUUGAAUAGAAUAUGAACUAUACUAUCUAGAUUCUCAGUAAUUUGCAACAGCAAAGAUGUCACUGCCCAUCUGAGGUUAGUAACUAAAAGCUAUCAUGAUUCAGUAUGUUAAUUCAACAUAUUAAAAUGGCUAUGUAUUUGACUAAGGGGGUUAUGGUUUUGUUUUUCCUGCUCAGUUAUUAUAAAUCCUUUCAGGUUUUGUAGCAUUAUCUUUUUAAUAAGAUUUGUUAAAACAUAUGUAAAUCUAAGUGACAUUUUCUUCAAAACAGAACCUAGCUGGUUUCUUACUAUUGACCGUAUCAAGUGUUAGGAAUGAGGUUCUUUGAAUCUCAGUUUCUCAAUUGCCUUGAAAGCAGAUAUUAUAUAGAAUACAAGGUAUUCUAUUUUCUGUCAAAAUAGACAGUGACAUUUCCAGAAAAAACAAA